GACGAACGCUGGCGGCGUGCUUAACACAUGCAAGUCGAACGGAAAGGCUCCAGCUUGCUGGAGUGCUCGAGUGGCGAACGGGUGAGUAACACGUGGGCAAUCUGCCCUGCACUCUGGGAUAAGCCUGGGAAACUGGGUCUAAUACCGGAUAGGACCUUUCUCCUCAUGGGGUCUGGUGGAAAGUUUUUCGGUGCAGGAUGAGCCCGCGGCCUAUCAGCUUGUUGGUGGGGUAAUGGCCUACCAAGGCGACGACGGGUAGCCGGCCUGAGAGGGUGAUCGGCAACAUUGGGACUGAGAUACGGCCCAGACUCCUACGGGAGGCAGCAGUGGGGAAUAUUGCACAAUGGGCGAAAGCCUGAUGCAGCGACGCCGCGUGAGGGAUGACGGCCUUCGGGUUGUAAACCUCUUUCAGUAGGGACGAAGCGCAAGUGACGGUACCUGCAGAAGAAGCACCGGCUAACUACGUG
rnacentral:rRNA from 1 species